UCAGAUGCAAAAGGUCUGCAGUCUGCGGACCACAUCUGCAAAUGUCUGCACGAGAAGAUGUGGACCAAAUGUCUGCGGAGUGUAAUAAAAAGAGUGUUUGAUUAUCUCACAUCUUUACCCCACAUCUGCAAACUUUUUUUCCCUUUCUCUUCUCUCAAACCCCUUUCUAUUGAACAUUUAAGAUCUGCAAACCACCCACUCAAACCCACCAUUAACAUGAUAGAAGAGGCACAAUAGACCCACACCCAACCAGAGAGGUUGAAUUGAUGAAGAUGUCGUUAUCAUCCGAAUUACUUCCUGACCUCGUUCGAUGGUCUGUUUUCCUCCUAGCAUAUUAGUUGUCAUUGGCCUUAUGUAUUGCAAAGGACUUUGUGGGUGAAGAUGCAAGUCUUUUUAAAAGACUAAGAAGAGAUGUGUACAUGUAUAUCACCGUACAAGAGUGUUACAAUUCACUGAAAUACACUCUUGAUAUACUAGUUGUCGGAGAUCUGAGAUCUUGGGAGAAGAGUCAUAUCCGGGAUAGCUUAUGAAGGUGGGGGAGGUGUCAGUGUUUUGAGAUUAGGAGGAGAGGGGUGGAGAGAGAGUUGGAAGAGGUGGGAAGACAUUGGACCAUGUCUGCGUGGGGAAGAGGACACACAGAGGUCUGAAGACAUUUUUUAAUAAAAUGUCUUCUAAAAAACAAACGGUCUGCAGAGCUAAACGUCUGCGCGAAGCAAACAUAAGAGGUCAGAAGAGGUUUUUCUGAAAAAAAAACAAACACCCCUUUAGUAAAUUCAUAACAAUAUCAGCAACUUAAUUAAUAAAUUCAUAACAUUAUUAGCAACUUAAUCUUAUUUAAAUUUCACUUAUUUAACAAACAGGAAUCAGAUUCAAAACCCUUAAUUUUUAUUUGCUUUUUUCAUCCUCAUUUUGCUUUUACACUCUACAAUGAUUAUCUCUGAUAAACUAUUUAAAAAAAUAAAUGUUUCAUUAUAAAAUAAUAAAUCAUCCAAAACCAAUUAUCUUUAAUUUUGAAAAAAAUAAUCAGGCAAUCCUAAAACAUAAAAUAAUAAAUCAUCUAAAACCAAUUACCUUUAGUUUUAAAAAAAAUAAUCAGGCAAUCCUAAAACAAAAUCAAGAAAGUAAAACCAAUUACCUUUAGUUUUGAAAAAAAUAAUCAGGCAAUCCUAAAACAAAAUCAAGAAAGUAAUCACUUUUCAGUAAUAUGAGAAGAAAAUCACCCCACUAGAUAUUUGAAUAUCACUUAUUUAUGUAUGGUCACGUAGGAGAAGGUUCAU